rnacentral:lncRNA from 1 species
AUGCCACACAUUCUGCUUCCCAGACCCCUGCCUGGGAAGAGUGGGACUCCACAGGUCUGGGGGAAGCCUGGGAGUGGCACCUAUGAGCAGCUGCCUCAGAGAUUCUUAAUCAUUUUACAGAUACCUCCAGAGCACUUAACCAUGUGCUCUGCCGGUCUCUGGGGACACAGAGAUGCAUGGCUCUUGGGACAGUCGCAUUGGGAAGAUCCCGUCUGCUCAGAGCUCAGCUGCUGGCUGCUUCCUCCAUCAAACCCUCACCCAAGGCCUGUCUCAGGCAGAAGCACCUGUCACCCCAGCCUUGACACCGGGCCAAUUAUCUUAGACACCUGGAUGAGACAACAGCCUGGAUCAUCCCCCUCAGGCCACAACACCAGCACAAGGUCCAGACCACCGCCAGGCAGACCUCAGUGCCUGAGAUGCCGGGAUGGCAUCUUGCUUUGCCUAAGUGGGUUCUGACACGUCGCUGUUUCUUCUCAUUAAAAAGAAAAACAAAAACACAAAUCUAAGUAAUGUGUGCCCAGCACCCACCACAGAUGUUUGUGUCUUCAGCGUGUGCAUGUCAGGUAAACCCAUCCACGGGAGCCCAGAGUCAGCCCAUACUGAGAGGUCAAACCAGGGACAGGGUGCUCUUAGGGUCAUGGACAUAACGGACGUCAAACAGGUUUGAGACAUCGCCACAGCCUUUAUUUCUUGCUUCCGGCAAAGCGGUUUUCUGAUGAAGCAGGACAAAAGCCACUACUCCCUGUGGCGGCCUAGGGCCCUGGAGUUGGACACAAGCAUGGCAGAUAGCUAAGCUCAAACUUAAGCUCUAUUUGCCUGCUUCCUCCCAACCCCGCCCCCUUCCCACAACCCCGCCCCUUCCCACAACCCCGCCCCCUCCAUAACCCCGCCCCUUUCCUCCAACCCUGCUCCACUCACAACAGCCAGAGCGAGCAUUAAUCAAGGCCAUAACCCCAGUGCUCGCUUAGGCAGCACAUAUGCUAAAUACAGAGAAAAUUAACGUUGCCCCCGUGCAAGGAUGACACACAAGUUUGUGAAGGGGUCCGUGUUUUUACUUAUAUGUGAAAUCUAAAAUACAGCACAGAACCAUGAGGUUGCGGGUUGGAUCCCUGGCCUCGUUCCGGCGUUGCGGUGAGCUAUGGGGUAGGUCACAGAUGUGGCUCAGAUCCGGCACUGAUGUGGCUGUGGCGUAGGCUGGCAGCUGUAGCUCCCGUUGGACCCCUAUCCUGGAACGUCCAUAUGCUGUGGGUGAGGCCCUAAAAAGCAAAAAAAAAAAAUAAAAUAAAAUAAAAUAUGGCA